AAUAACCAGGUGAAAAAGAAGACAACCUUCCAAUUGUGAAACUGGUUAUUAAAGCCCUUAAUUAAGUGUAUUGUCCAUGCAGUGUGCACAGAUGUCCUUCUCAUCUAGGGAUAAAAUGUUCCGCUGGCCCUUUAAGAAGCAGGAAUGUGAGUUCCCGUUCUGCCCAGGAGUAUCGCGAGAGUUCACCUGCGAGCAGCGCGAUUUACAACGCGAUGCAGGUGUUUCUUAUGAAGUGUGAGAACCGGGAAGUUCUUGUGCAUGAAGCAAGACUUUAAAUUUAAAGUCACAGUGGAGCCACUGAGCAGUGAGACUAAGCGUACUCGUCAGACUUACAGCUGAAGACCAAACAUCUGUGGUGAAGUUCAUCGCGGAGUGGUUAUGAAGAAGCUCGUGAAUAUGAUCUGUCAUACGGUUGUAUAACUCCGAAUUACUUUAGGCACUGAUAGAAUUGUUCUGUAAUGACGGAAGAUCAGCGCAGAAUUCACCAGACUUGUGUCGAUGGACCUGAGCAAGUCCUUUUAUGAGGGUCUUGACAAACACGCCUCAAAGCUGCUGUAUUUGUACCGCUCGAGGCGCCAUGCAGACAUCGCAGAAAGGAGUGCCAUACUGGAGAGCCUGGAUUAAAAUGUGAGUAGGUUUAUUUCAAGUGUACUUGUUUUGUAAAUACUGUGGUCAUUUCCUUUCUUGCUAUUUCUCUUGUCCUGCAUAAUUUGAAUAUAAAACAUUUGUACUUUUGAGGCAUCAAAUCACAGGAAGAGGGUUGCAGUACUGCUGGGGCUGCCACUGUCCAUGCGGGAGAAUCCAUCUCAGUUCUUACAGAUCUGUGAGCACACAGAUUCUGAAGAAGAGUUAAUCAAGGGCGUGACUGUUGGAAUCAGUACAGUUGUGGAUGACGCGAUGGACCCUAUUCCGUGUGACUGCGGUGAUGUAGCCCUUGUAAUGGAAGAAGUUGUCGUUCUACGCAAUCUUGGUGAUGUACCAAAUGCAUUUGUCAACUUGAUGGGAUUGCUUUAUGCACGUAACAUAAACUACCCCACAAACUUCAAAUACACCUUUGAGGUGAUUCAGAGGCUGUUCAUGAACAUCGGAGCUGAUGCCUGCAGUGCACGAGUACAUUCACUUAAAAAUAAUCUGCUCAAGUAGAGAUGGUGUUAUGCAUUUCUUGUAAGAGAGAUUUCAUGUGGUGUUGUGUUGUGUAUGUCACAGUUUCUAUACCUAAGCAGCAUGACUUCAGUUUUGUUGUAUAUUUUCACCUUUAAACACUGGGCAAUUGAAAUGUAAUGUUGUUAGGCAAAAACAGAUUUCUGCUUGCUUUUUCUGUUUAUUUUGAGAAAUUCAUGUAAUUUCAAGUUCUGCUCACGCCCGAGUCUGCUGACACGCACAGCCAAGCUCCGCCCAUGCCCAAGGUUCACCUGGUAACCUCAGAGCCUCAGCCCCCCUGUUCAGCUGCGGUCGUCGCUCAGCCUCCCUGUUCAGCUGCGGUCGUCGCUCAGCCUCCCUACGCCGCCAAGAACACCGGGCAGUUUCCUGGCUCUGUUUGGGACAUUCAGCCCAGGGGGCCGGGGCCGCCAAUGAAGUGGGAUGACUCAUGGCACUCGGGGGGGGGGUUCUGUCACGAUUCCCCCUUGAAGCAGCGUGCUCUAAGCGUGAAUGUGCGAGCACCUGCUUUUCCGUUGUUGACUGUAAUGACAUCUGGACACGUGUGUUUUGUUUAUGUUUCUGUCAUGUCUCCUCCCUGUUCUGUCAUUGGCUGGGAUUUCACGUGGGUCUGAAUUGCUCUCAGCUGCUAGCGGUUUAGACGCUGAUCAUGUCCGCAUAUAUACUGCGCGCCUCCCAGCACACAACGCGGAAGAUUAAAUGUUUAGAGUUAGUUUAGCUCGUAUCAUAGUCAUAGUCACGGUCCAUGUUUAGAGUUAGUUCGCGCUGGAUUAUCCGCUUCCAGUCCCUCGUCAUAGUUGGUUUCUUGUUUUGUUUAUCGACCCUGUUUUCCGUGACCACGACCUAGAUUCCUGCCUUGCCCCGUGUACGCUUGUUUGCCAAUCGCCUGACCUCUUGCAUGUUUAUGGAUUACGUUUUGGAUCACGUUUUGGAUUUGUCUGCCUGUCCCUCUUUCAAAUAAACAACUGUUCAUCCUG